rnacentral:rRNA from 3 species
UUCAAACCUUGGUGANNNUGUGCAUUUUGNUUUGAUCCUUGGUCCAAUGUUUAGAAGUAUUUGUCAUAUGUGUGGUGUUNAGAAUUUCCAACUUGUAUCAAGUUNAUAACUUGCUGUAAGAUAUUGUGUGAUGAAUACUCNCGAUUGGUCUGAAAGUCAUGCCACCCCUGGGGUCCAUAUUACGUGUACGGCUCAUGCAUCGAAAGCUUUUGGGUGUAGCAAAAACUAGGUAUUAGAUACCCUGGUAGUCCACGCCCUAAACGAUGUCAACUAGUUGUUGGGGAUUCAUUUCCUUAGUAACGUAGCUAACGCGUGAAGUUGACCGCCUGGGGAGUACGGUCGCAAGAUUAAAACUCAAAGGAAUUGACGGGGACCCGCACAAGCGGUGGAUGAUGUGGAUUAAUUCGAUGCAACGCGNAAAACCUUACCUACCCUUGACAUGGUCGGAAUCCUGUCUGAGAGGCGGGAGUGCUCGAAAGAGAACCGGCGCACAGGUGCUGCAUGGCUGUCGUCAGCUCGUGUCGUGAGAUGUUGGGUUAAGUCCCGCAACGAGCGCAACCCUUGUCCUUAGUUGCUACGCAAGAGCACUCUAAGGAGACUGCCGGUGACAAACCGGAGGAAGGUGGGGAUGACGUCAAGUCCUCAUGGCCCUUAUGGGUAGGGCUUCACACGUCAUACAAUGGUCGGAACAGAGGGUUGCCAACCCGCGAGGGGGAGCUAAUCCCAGAAAACCGAUCGUAGUCCGGAUUGCACUCUGCAACUCGAGUGCAUGAAGCUGGAAUCGCUAGUAAUCGCGGAUCAGCAUGCCGCGGANNGUCC